UACGGGGGGGGCAAGCGUUGUUCGGAAUUACUGGGCGUAAAGGGCUCGUAGGCGGCCAACUAAGUCAGACGUGAAAUCCCCAGGCUCAACCUGGGAACUGCGUCUGAUACUGGAUGGCUUGAAUUCGGGAGAGGAAUGCGGAAUUCCAGGUGUAGCGGUGAAAUGCGUAGAUAUCUGGAGGAACACCGGUGGCGAAGGCGGCAUCCUGGACCAACACUGACGCUGAGGAGCGAAAGCCAGGGGAGCAAACGGG
rnacentral:rRNA from 1 species